UAUUUUUCAUCAUAUUUUAUGCAUAUAUGAGAGGUGAGAAGCGUCUGACUUUACCCCCUUUUUCCUGUGAUGGGGUGGGGGGAGAAUGGUUUGGCUGUCAAGCCACUCCACUUUGCCUCCCUUUACUCCUGCUUGGUCCCUAUCCCCAAGAUGGGCUGUGAGACCUUGCCUCGGUGUUCUCCCUGCUUAGUUAGCAGCCACUUUCCUCCAGGAUGCUCUGAUAGGAGGUGCAGCGUAACGGUCAGCCACAGCUGACACCCUCCCCCACUCCCACCACUCCGGGGCUGAGGCUGCUGCUGUUCUUUGGGGUGUGGAGGGAGGCACGUCGAUGUGGCUAAGAUUGGUGACUGAGGGAUUUCGGCCCAUAAUUAACAUCCCCAACUUCCUCAAGCCCAAUAAACUGUGCCGAGUACAGCUAGCCCUCCCGAAGUUUACCCAGUUUAGGCUCCACCAUUUUGCAAAGAUGUGACAGCUGUCAGCCAAACAGUUCCUGUCUCUGCCUUUUUCCUGAAUGGCUGCAGCUGUCCCAGAGGCCCUGCUCCCACUUGAAUCAAUCACAGGUCUGUACUUGGACCGAUCAGCAAGCCCAAAUCUGAGGCAACCGUGGGCUGACACCUGGACCAUCAAGAGCAUGAGCAUCAGCAGCGCUCCCCUCACACUUCUCAGUCAAUGACUUUUCUUGGGAGGUUAUUCUUCACCUGUUCAUCCAGACCUGACCUGCUCUUGAACAGCAGUACAGUUGCCUAAGACUUAUUGAACCUGUUUGCAAAUUAGAUGUUAAUGCUGUAAUCUAAAAGACGACUUAUGCAAG